GACAGAGGUGCCAAGCGUUAGGCGGAAUUCACUGGGCUUAAAGCGUGUGUAGGUGGAUUUGUAAGUACCUUGUGAAAUCCCAUGGCUCACCAUGGAACUGCUCGGUAUACUGCGAAUCGUUGAGCACUUAGGGGCUACCGGAACAAAUGGUGGAGCGGUGAAAUGCGUAGAUAUCAUUUGGAACGCCAUGGUGAAAACAGGUAGCUGGGAGUGAUGCUGACA
rnacentral:rRNA from 1 species